UACCUAGUGGCGGACGGGUGAGUAACGCGUGGAUAACCUGCCUUAUACAGGGGGAUAACGGAGAGAAAUUUCCGCUAAGACCGCAUAAGACCACAGCACCGCAUGGUGCAGGGGUAAAAUAUUUAUAGGUAUAAGAUGGAUCCGCGUCCGAUUAGCUAGUUGGUGAGGUAAAGGCCCACCAAGGCGACGAUCGGUAGCCGGCCUGAGAGGGUGAACGGCCACAUUGGGACUGAGACACGGCCCAA
rnacentral:rRNA from 1 species